rnacentral:lncRNA from 1 species
GAGGUUACGGGAAGGAAGGGCGAGUGUGCGCACGCGCGGGCACUCCCCAGCCUCGUACCUGGUUACCUAGGAGACGGCGAGGCGCUCACCCUCCUGGUUUGGGUCGUGCUUCUUUGCUCCAGGCCUUGGCUCAGGCGGCAGGUGGGGGAGAGUAAACGUGUUGACCCAAAGUUGCAACUCCCAAGAAGAAACCUCACGUCGGGUUGCAGGAAAGCAACAAACCUCUACAGGCUGGAGAGGAGAAUGUGUGGGACAAGCAGGGCCUCGUGAUUUCAGCUACUUGCUUGGGCCUUCCCAAGCCCCACUGUGUGGGUUGAGGGAGUCCUUUCCCGGUGACCUCCAAAACAAAGCGUUCGUGUUCUCCAACUCCGCCUCUUUCCUAACUGCUGGCUUUGUUGAACCAAGAUGGCCCACAGUAUGGAGCUGCUGAAAGGACGAGGGGCAACAUGAACAACAAAAUAAGACCACUGGGAGUUCCUGCUGUGGCGCAAUGGCAUUGGCGUCAUCUCUGCAGCGCCAGGAUGCAGGAUCCCUGAGGAUCUGGAUUUUGUCUUUGCUCUGCUCGGGGCCAGGAUCUGGACCAACUCCCUGGCUGUGUGGCUGCAGACCUAUCCCUCCCUCCUUCACGUGCUCCUGUUCCUCUUGCUGUGCUCUUACUGGCGACAUAGUUAGGCACCUACUGGGAGCAGAACUCAGAGAAGAAAGAGACUUAUGAAAGUGAUGGCUGUUUUAAAUUAGAACUGUAGAGUCAUCUUACUUUUUUGUUUUUUUUUUUUUUUUCCCGGCCCCCCGCNCGCAGCAUGCAGAAGCUAUGGGGCCAGGGAUCGAACUAGCACUAUAGCAGUGACAACGCCAGAGCCAGAUCCUUAGCCCCCUAGGCCACUGGGGAACUCCCUAAUGUUUAAACUUUUUAUUGGUGAACAAAUUUCCUACCUUCAAAGAUACAUAAUUUCACAAAUAGAAAUACAUGAAAAAGCUAGUAUUCGUGUUAGAUUUCAGUAAAGAAGUCUUAGGCCCAAGGUGAAGAGGAAUUUCCAGUUUAUGAAUAUAUUUAAGUACCCAAGCUGGCUACCGUGUAGUGUAUAGAGAGCUCUUUUGAAAGGCCUUGAAGGAGAGACUGAAUUUCUAGCUGGCAGGAAUGGUUUGGGUUAAGGAUUUCAUUUCUGUGAUGUUUCUAAUUAAAACCUCCCAGCUCCUCUGGCCGAA